GACGAACGCUGGCGGCGUGCUUAACACAUGCAAGUCGAGCGGUAAGGCCCUUUCGGGGGGUACACGAGCGGCGAACGGGUGAGUAACACGUGGGUGACCUGCCCUUAGCUCUGGGAUAAGCCUGGGAAACUGGGUCUAAUACCGGAUAUGACUCCAUGACGCAUGUUGUGGGGUGGAAAGCCUUGUGCGGCUAGGGAUGGGCCCGCGGCUUAUCAGCUUGUUGGUGGGGUGAUGGCCUACCAAGGCGACGACGGGUAGCCGGCCUGAGAGGGCGACCGGCCACACUGGGACUGAGACACGGCCCAGACUCCUACGGGAGGCAGCAGGUGGGGAAUCUUGCGCAAUGGGCGAAAGCCUGACGCAGCGACGCCGCGUGGGGAGUGACGGCCUCGGU
rnacentral:rRNA from 1 species